ACGGGGGGUGCAAGCGUUGUUCGGAAUUAUUGGGCGUAAAGCGCGUGUAGGCGGUUUGUUAAGUCUGAUGUGAAAGCCCCGGGCUCAACCUGGGAAGUGCAUUGGAAACUGGCAGACUUGAAUACGGGAGAGGGUAGUGGAAUUCCUGGUGUAGGGGUGACACGCGCGGAUUUCAGGAGGAGCACAAGGGGCGAGGGAGGCAAACGGAAUCGAUAUCCAAGCGGAUCCGCUACAGCGACGAAAGGAAACAG
rnacentral:rRNA from 1 species